UGUCUUCUUCUCACUCCUUAUUCUACAAGCAGAUUACCGUACUCUCCUCAAAACUGUUUCCGAUUUCGAGCUUUCACCACACCAACACUGCCAUUCGAUCUUCGAUCUUCUGUGAAUUCAUUUAGCUUCUAUUGAUUAUUUCGAUAACUGCUCUAUAGGUCGUGCAGGAAAACCAGAUUUGCAGGUUACGAAUUUGGGGUUCCAAAGUCCAAACAGUUUACGACUUCAAUUUUUGGGUCCUUUCACUGCCGAUUGUAUGCUUUAUUGACGUUUCCCCCCGUGAAUGGAUGAAGUUUUAGAAUCGGAAGACUUUGAUUAUGUCAUCAACGAAGGGGGCAUCAUGACCGAGGUUUUGGAUCCAAAGGACCAAGGCUGCAACCUCGUCAUAGCAUUGGCUGAUAUAGUUUCCAUGGUUAUGAGGAUAUCAAAGAAAGAUCUGCAUGCUCUUGUUUCAGCACAACCAUUGGUUGAUAGUAAUUCCACAACCCCUACAAAAAUGAGAUGCUUUUCUGUGGAUUUCGGACUUGAAAGUGAAGAAACAUACUCGUUAACACCGGUUAAGAGAGACCGGGACUAGAGUCUCUAUUUAAUUAGGAGAGACAAACGAUAAACUCCAUGAUUUGAUGUAUUAUGAUAGUCCAGAUGACAUAAGGAAGCAAAUAAUGAUGAAUUUUGGAAAGAGGGGGGUAAGCAAUACCCAAUUUUAGGAGCUUUGAACUUCAAUAGUUUUAACGCAAAAAAAGAAAAACACAUGAUUUGGUUCCACGCAAGUUAGGCUUUAGCCUAUCUAAAAAUCCUAAAAGAAAAGGUAAAGGGCUUAAAAGGAAAGUCGUAGAAGAAGAAGACCAGGAACAUGCUUUAUUAAUCUAUAGAUGCAACACAACGAAUACAUACAAAGAUAAGCACUAUUCCUAUGUUAAAAACUCACAUGACAAGACAUGGGUGUUAAUGGAUGUUCCUUGGUGUGCAUAAAGGCUUUUAACUACAUCUUGGUCCCGAUAUCAUGUUCUAGCAACUACUAAGGUUUAUGUGGCAUUACCGGUAAGUUGCAAACUCUUAAUCGUGUAGUUUGAUCUUUCUUUCUUGCUAAUCUUUAUUUUCAAAUCCAUGCAUCAUUUGUAGUCUAAAACAGUUAACGACGAGUCUAUGUUGUAAAAAACGAGCUAGGGCGCUCAGGCACAGCGAGGCGCCCCUAAAGUAGUACGAUCUUUUAAAACCUUUUUAUCAUCAAUGCCCCAUGAAAGGCAUUGAGGAUUGAUUUUUUUUUUGUUCAUCUUUGAAGAAUAUGUUUGGAUCUCCCUCACCUAAACCAGGCGCUUUAGGUGCGCCUCGCUGCGCCUGAGCGUCUAGGCGCACGCCUAGCUCGCUUUUCACUACAUAGACUCGGCGUUAACUGUUUUAAACUACAAAUGAUGCAUGCAUUUGAAAAUAAAGAUUAGUAAAAAAGAAAAAUCAAACUACACGUUUAAAAGUUCGCAACAUACCGUUAAUGCCACAUACACCUUAGUAGUUGCUAGAACAUGAUAUAUCGGGACCAUGAUGUAGUUAAAAGCAUUUAUGCACACCAAGGAACAUCCAUUAACACCCCAUGUCUUGUCAUGUGAGUUUGUAACAUAGCAAUAGUGCUUAUCUUUUUGUAUGUAUUCGUUGUGUUGCAUCCAUAGAUUAAUAGAGCAUGUUCCUGGUCUUCUUCUUCUACGACUUUUCUUUUAAGCCCUUUACCUUUUCUUUUAUGGAUUUUAGGUAGGCUGAAGCCUAACUUGCGUGGAACCAGAUCAAGUGCUUUUUUUGCGUUAAAACCGUUGAAGUUCAUUGCUCCCAAAAUUGGGUAUUGCUUACCCCUCUUUCAAAAAUUCAUCAUUAUUUGCUUCCUUAUGUCAUCUGGACUAUCAUAAUACAUCAAAUCAUGGAGUUUAUCGUUUGUCUCUCCUAAUUAAAUAGAGACUCUCAUCCCAGUCUCUCUUAACCCGUGUUAACGAGUAUGUUUCUUCACUUUCAAGUCCGAAAUUCACAGAAAAGCAUCUCAUUUUUGCAAGGGUCGUAGAAUUACCAUCAACCAAUGGUUGUGCUGAAACAAGAGCAUGUAUAUCUUUCUUUGAUAUCCUCAUAACCAUGGAAACUAUAUCAGCCAAUACUAUGGCGAGGCAGCGGCUAUGGUCCUUUUGAUCCAUAACCUCGGUCAUGAGCUAGAUCGGGUCGAGACGUUUCGGGACGUUAAUGGGUUAGGUCAAUUCGGUAUGUUUCAAGCCGAAUCGAGACAUUUCGGCCUUUAACGGGGUCCAGACGUUUUGAGUCGUUAACAGCCCAGACCGUUAAUGGGUCGGGUUGAGACGUUUCGGAUCGUUAACGUGUCGGGUCUAGACAUGUCUGGUCGAUGCUAGGUUGAUCGAAUUUUUGCGAGUAGGCGUCGGGUCGUGUCGAGGAGUUGCAUGUUGGCUAGACAGUACAACGGUUUGUUCUUUCUUUAACUUUUUUUUUAUUCAACACUAGCCAUGUGUCAGCCUCUUAUAUAUCUAUGCAUAUUUACAUUUAGUAUUUAUAUAUCCACGUGUCAACCCAUGCCCCAUGGUCUUAUAAAGGAAAGUGCUCAGGCUCUGGAACGGGUCUCUACAAAUCUUGAACGAAAUCAGGUGAAGUAUCUAGUAUUUAUUCAGCCACUUAUUAUGUUUCAAAAGAUUCUUCUAAUCCUGCAUAGAGGUGGCAAAAUGGACGGGUCAAAGGGGUAAUUCUUUGGUAUGGGUUGGGACUUGGGUCGAACAAAAACAUUUUUUUGUGUGGUUUUUUCAUAUAUAACUAGAGUCUAAUAUGAUUAUGAAGAAAAUAUUAAUAUUAGAAUAUUAGAAUAUUCUGAAUAAAAGGAUUCAAGAUGCGUUAAUGAUGUGUCUAAUCCAUUACAAUAACGUUGAUUCGUUAUUUGUCUAAUCCACACAUGUACAUACCAGCACACCUAACUUCACAUAUUUGAUUCGUUGUUGAGCGAGUUUUUACGCAAAGGUAUAUAAAAGCGUGUCUAAUCUGUAACACAAUGAUGCAUUUAAGUUCACAUAUUUGAUUUUUUUUUUACUUUUAACAAAUGAUGAGUGUAAAUACACAUGUAUAUAAUGAUGUGUGUAAUCCAUUACAAUAACGUAACUGACUACGCGUAUUUGAUGCACGGAUUCUGUCACUCUAUCAAUCCAUGUUACAGGCUUUAAUUAAAAGACCAAGAAUCAAACGACAUAUCAGGAUAACUGUGGUUUACGUGUUUAUUCUUUGUAUCGGUCUAAGAGUAUGGCCCAAAAGUCUUACCGGAAUUGAAAAGUAUGAACCAAAAGUCUUAUUAUUUGACAAAAACCUAAUUUUUGUUUUCUUUUUCUUUUUGGUCGUUACCUUUUUAAAUGUAAACACUUAUCGGUCCCACAAGACAAGUUAUGAUAGAUGAUGAGGUUUUGAGUUU